ACACACUUGUGUGCGUGGGAGAAUGAUCCAGGCUCCCUCUGGAUGUUACCUUGGUCCUUUGUCCCCUGCUGCUCCCUGGGACAGAUGUGCAGCAGCUGCUGCAGUGUCCCAGCCCUGCUGAAGGCAGUGACAGUGACAGCUGGGCAUUUCCAGCAGCUGCACAUCUGCCUCCAGGGAAGAGGAGCGUUGGCUUAGCAAAUGACAUUUAGAAAUAUUUUGCAGGUCUCUGCAGUUGAAACAGACAAGUUGGAAGAUGAUGGACUUGUUUCCUUCCAUUUGCUGCUGCAGCUCUGCAUCAACAACUUGAAAGUUACCUUCAGUCAGUGACAGUCAACUACUUGAAAGCAGAUUUUCAAUGUGUGGUGUCCUUCUCUGGCCCUGCUAAUGUAUGCUCCAAGAAGAAGAAUGUGCAAGCACAACAGGCCACACAUUUUGCAACAAUUGGCCCCAACAAAGUGCAACUUUGAGAACUUUGCAACAAAAAGGGCAAAUGGAGUGUCAAGGUUUCAGGAUGUUGUAAUCAUCUUACUGCAAUGAGAAUAUCUUAAGAUUCACAGCCUACAGACUUGGCCUUCGACUGGCUCUUCAAACAGAAGUGAUUUCAUUUGCAUGUUUCUUCCAUUUUCACUCUGCUGCAGAAGCAUCUCUCCAGAAACUGAUGACCUUACCUGAACUUCACUCCUGGGUGCAUGGGAUGCUGCUUCACCUGCCUUCAAGAGGUGAAGACUUACACUUUCCACCAAAUGCUGCUAUUUUAAGGGUUGUCAAAAGCAC